CCUACGGGAGGCAGCAGUGGGGAAUAUUGCACAAUGGGCGCAAGCCUGAUGCAGCAACGCCGCGUGAGGGACGACGGCCUUCGGGUUGUAAACCUCUUUUAGUAGGGAAGAAGCGAAAGUGACGGUACCUGCAGAAAAAGCACCGGCUAACUACGUGCCAGCAGCCGCGGUAAUACGUAGGGUGCAAGCGUUAUCCGGAAUUAUUGGGCGUAAAGAGCUCGUAGGCGGUUUGUCGCGUCUGCUGUGAAAACUGGAGGCUCAACCUCCAGCCUGCAGUGGGUACGGGCAAACUAGAGUGCGGUAGGGGAGAUUGGAAUUCCUGGUGUAGCGGUGGAAUGCGCAGAUAUCAGGAGGAACACCGAUGGCGAAGGCAGAUCUCUGGGCCGUAACUGACGCUGAGGAGCGAAAGCAUGGGGAGCGAACAGGAUUAGAUACCCUGGUAGUCCAUGCCGUAAACGUUGGGCGCUAGAUGUGGGGACCCAUUCCACGGUUUCCGUGUCGCNGCUACGCAUAGCGCCCGCCGUCGGGAGGUACGGCCGGCGACGGACGUAAACCUACAAGAAGUAGUACGACGNGAGAGACGCGACGACGACGACGACGGAGGAGGAG
rnacentral:rRNA from 1 species